AGUUUGAUCCUGGCUCAAGAUGAACGCUAGCUACAGGCUUAACUCAUGCUAGUCGAGGGGAAACGGUUUUGAGUGCUUGCACUCUUUGGACGUCGACCGGCGCACGGGUGAGUAACGCGAUCCAACCUUCUCCAUUACUGUGGGUAUAACCUGUCCGAAGGGCAAACUAUUACCGCAUAUGCUUCGAUGACGGCAUCAGAUUUGAGAUAAAGAUUUAUCGGCCAUGGAUGGGGAUGCGUCUGAUUAGCUUGUUGGCGGGGUAACGGCCCACCAAGGCGACGAUCAGUAGGGGUUCUGAGAGGAAGGUCCCCCACUUUGGAACUGAUACACGGACCAAACUCCUACAGGAGGCUGCAGUGAGGAAUAUUGGUCAUUGGACAGAGGUCUGAGCCAUCCCAGUAUCGUGCACGAUGACGGCCCUAUGGGUUGUAAGCUGCUUUUGUAUGGGGAUAAAGUUAGGGACGUGUCCCUAUAUGCAGGUACCAUCCGAAUAAGGGCCGGCUAAUUCCGUGCCAGCAGCCGCGGUAAUACGGAAGUUCCGGGCGUUAUCCGGAUUUAUUGGGUGUAAAGGGAGUGUAGGCGGGAGAUUAAGUGUGUUGUGAAAAGUCGGCGCUCAACGUCUGACUGGCAGCGCAUCCUGGUAUCCUGGAGUACGCACAGCUUAGGCGGAAUUCGUCGGGUGGCGGGGAAAUGGUUAGAUAUGGUGAAGAACUCGGAGUGGGAAGCCAGCUGACGGGCGCGCAACGGCCGCGGAAGCUGGAAGGUGCGGGUGUAGACCAGGAUUAGAUCCCCUGGUAGUCCGCCCAGUA
rnacentral:rRNA from 1 species